GCAUACCCCCAAUUUUGUUCUGGUUUUGGUGUAUCAACACAAGAGCCAAGUUUGGAAAGAAAUGUACUUUAUGUAGUAUAGCUCAAUACUUCCAUUGUGGUUUUCGGCACCUGUGUAUCCAGCACAAUGUUCUCGUGUAACUGAUGUACGACGAUUACAGUAGAUAAUAACUUUUGUACAUCUAUUUCUAGAUGCAGGUGAAAUUGGUAAUCAGACUGAUUAUAUCAACAUGGACCAUCCCACAUCUUCUCAGGCUCUAAGAUGUUCAUAUCAGAAUGCUGAAGAAUUUGUGCUCUUUUGAAGCAUGCAAGGCCAAAGCAAGAUAGUUGGUUCAUUUUGGAUAUCAAUGUCUUGGAUGGUACAAUGAUGGCUCCAUCUACCCCAUUCACAAAGAUUUGGCGAAUGUGUAACAAUGGCAUUUUAGUGUGGCCCAAGGGAACUCAACUUGUUUGGAUUGGUGGUUAUAAAUUAAGUGAUGUGCUUUCUGUUGACUUAGAGG